rnacentral:rRNA from 1 species
AUUGAACGCUGGCGGCAGGCCUAACACAUGCAAGUCGAGCGGUUGACGGGAGCUUGCUCCCUGAUUCAGCGGCGGACGGGUGAGUAAUGCCUAGGAAUCUGCCUAUUAGUGGGGGACAACGUUUCGAAAGGAACGCUAAUACCGCAUACGUCCUACGGGAGAAAGCAGGGGACCUUCGGGCCUUGCGCUAAUAGAUGAGCCUAGGUCGGAUUAGCUUGUUGGUGAGGUAAUGGCUCACCAAGGCGACGAUCCGUAACUGGUCUGAGAGGAUGAUCAGUCACACUGGAACUGAGACACGGUCCAGACUCCUACGGGAGGCAGCAGUGGGGAAUAUUGGACAAUGGGCGAAAGCCUGAUCCAGCCAUGCCGCGUGUGUGAAGAAGGUCUUCGGAUUGUAAAGCACUUUAAGUUGGGAGGAAGGGUUGUAGAUUAAUACUCUGCAAUUUUGACGUUACCGACAGAAUAAGCACCGGCUAACUCUGUGCCAGCAGCCGCCGUAAGAC